rnacentral:rRNA from 1 species
UUGUUGGAGAGUUUGAUCCUGGCUCAGGACGAACGCUGGCGGCGUGCUUAACACAUGCAAGUCGAGCGGUAAGGCCCUUUCGGGGGUACACGAGCGGCGAACGGGUGAGUAACACGUGGGUGACCUGCCCUCCACUCUGGGAUAAGCCCGGGAAACUGGGUCUAAUACCGGAUAGGACCACUGAUCGCAUGGUUGGUGGUGGAAAGUUUUUUCGGUGGGGGAUGGGCCCGCGGCCUAUCAGCUUGUUGGUGGGGUGAUGGCCUACCAAGGCGGUGACGGGUAGCCGGCCUGAGAGGGCGACCGGCCACACUGGGACUGAGACACGGCCCAGACUCCUACGGGAGGCAGCAGUGGGGAAUAUUGCGCAAUGGGCGGAAGCCUGACGCAGCGACGCCGCGUGGGGGAUGACGGCCUUCGGGUUGUAAACCUCUUUCGCCAG